CUCCGGGUUUCAUUUCCUGGAGAGGUGCAUAGGGGUCAUAACCCAAAGGUCAGAGGUUCGAAUCCUCUCCCCGCUACCA
rnacentral:tRNA from 1 species